ACCUUACCAAGGCUUGACAUAUAGUGAAAAGUGGCAGAGAUGUCAUGUCCGCAAGGGCGCUAUACAGGUGGUGCAUGGUUGUCGUCAGCUCGUGUCGUGAGAUGUUGGGUUAAGUCCCGCAACGAGCGCAACCCUCGUUCUGUGUUACCAGCAUUAAGUUGGGGACUCACAGGAGACUGCCGGGGUCAACUCGGAGGAAGGUGGGGAUGACGUCAAAUCAUCAUGCCCCUUAUGUCUUGGGCUGCACGCAUGCUACAAUGGCCGGUACAAAGUGCUGCGAGAUCGCAAGAUUGAGCGAAUCACAUAAAGCCGGUCUCAGUUCGGAUUGAGGUCUGCAACUCGACCUCAUGAAGUCGGAGUUGCUAGUAAUCGUAGAUCAGCAACGCUACGGUGAAUACGUUCCCGGGGCUUGUACACACCGCCCGUCACGUCACGAAAGUCGGUAACACCCAAAGUUAGUGGCCCAACCGCAAGGGG
rnacentral:rRNA from 1 species